rnacentral:rRNA from 1 species
GACGAACGCUGGCGGCGUGCUUAACACAUGCAAGUCGAACGGAAAGGCCCUGCUUUUGUGGGGUGCUCGAGUGGCGAACGGGUGAGUAACACGUGAGUAACCUGCCCUUGACUUUGGGAUAGCUUCAGGUAACGGGGGCUAAUACCGGAUAGGAGCUCCUGCUGCAUGGUGGGGGUUGGAAAGUUUCGGCGGUUGGGGAUGGACGCGCGGGUGAUCGGCUUGUUGGUGGGGUAGUGGCUUACCAAGGCUUUGACGGGUAGGCGGCCUGAGAGGGUGACCGGCCACAUUGGGACUGAGAUACGGCCCAGACUCCUACGGGAGGCAGCAGUGGGGAAUAUUGCACAGUGGGCGGAAGCCUGAUGCAGCAACGCCGCGUGCGGGAUGACGGCCUUCGGGUUGUAAACCGCUUUCGCCUGUGACGAAGCGUGAGUGACGGUAAUGGGUAAAGAAGCACCGGCUAACUACGUG